CCAAAGUGCUAGGAUUACAGGCAUGAGCCACUGUGCCCAGCUGUAUUUUAAAACUUCUAAAUCAGAGGAUCUCAGAUGUGGGGUGGAAACUAAGGGGUCUCUGAGACCCUUUCAGAAGAUCUGUGAUGUUAAAAUUAUUUUCAUCAUCAUCAUAAGACAUUAUUUGCCUUUUUCACUUUCAUUCUCUCAUAUGUGUAGAGUUUUCUAGAUGUUACAUGACCUGUGAUGUCACCACAUAUUGAAUUCAGAAGCAGAUGUGAGACUCCAACUUAUCUUCUAUUAAGCCAGACGUUAAGGAUUUCAAACAAAAAGGUCUUAGCACAGAGCCUUCUACAGAGAGAAAAUUCGGAACUGUUUGCUGAACAACAUGUAAUUAAUUCGGCAGGAAGGUAAGGCAGAAUUUAUCAACUGAGAUUCCUGUGGUUGUUUAAGGCUAAAGAAAACUGGCUGAUCCAUGCUCUAGGAUUGUUGAAGCUUUCAUAGAGCAGGAAAAAUCUGAGGCCCGGGAAAGUCACCAUCGGUAUUGAGAAACAAUAUCUAAGAACAGCAAGUACCUACAGAGUGAGUUUUAAAAGAAGUGAUGGAAAAUCCAGGUUCUGAGAAUUAUCAUUAGAAAAAAAAAUCAUUUGGAGUCUUAUUUACUUUUUAAUAUUUAUUUUAAUAUUUUUUUAAAUAUUUAUUUUAAUAUAUGCACAUGAUCAAAACUAAAGAAGGUACAAGAGUGGCUCAACAUGACACAGUUGAAAGCCACACUUAGCAUGAAGGUGACAGUUAAGGCAGAGCUGGAAUGCGUGAGUAUGGAGAGGCCUGUGGCAAUGUUCUCAGCUCUGUGUGUCCACAUGGGACAAGGACCCUAUGUUUCCAAUGGUGCUCACCUAAAAAAUGGAGGAUAAAACAGGGACAGUUCACACCUACCCUGAGAGAGUUCAACUUUGAAUAAACAGAAUAUUUAACUGGAGGGGUGACUGUCUAAACCAGAAGAGACUGCAAUAUUACUAACUGAUAAGUUUCAGUUUGAGGAAGUGGAUGCUAGUAGGGAAAAGGAUUCAUAGAUAAUUAAGUAACUACAUUUUCCCCGCACAUCUGAGUGGACAGAGAGUAAAUCUGCAAUCUGGAAUCACUGCUUUUUCUGGUCUUUGAAAAUUUGAUUGUAGACCUUUUUCUGAAAUUGCUAACAAACUAGAAAAAAAAGUUGGAUAGCCAAUUCAGAAUGAGGAAUAUCAGAGGAUGGAGAAUCUCUGUGUCUAAAGAACUCCCGUCAUCAUUUGAAGAGAGAUCACCAAGUGCUUAUGAAAAUGCAGCAAACACUGAGUUGGUCGUGAUAAUGGUUUGUCCUUGGAACAUCUGGAGCUGGCUGAAUAUGGGCAAAGUUUACAAAUGAGGUCUUUGUGUGGAGAAAUGAAGAGAGGAAGUUAACGAGAUGUAGAAUCAUUCCAGCCAGGCUCGCAUUAAGGCUGGAUGAAGAUAUUUUAAAUAAACGUUCAGUUUUAACUUCUCUGUAGCCUGAGUAGCUAUGGACAAUUGAUCUGUCCAGUGAAGUACAUAUCCCUUUUAAAACACAUUUCUGAUGUAUACAUGUAGAAAGUUCGCAGAUGUAUCCUUUUUAUGAAAAGUUGAAUGUUAUAUAUCAAUUCAUGAAUAACAGAUUGUCCUUGGCCAUUUCAUUCUCAUGGAGGGAGACAUUCCCCCCACGGACAUUUUCUACCUUGUCACUUAGAAAUGCAGUAUUUGAAGGGACAAAAAUGAGGAGAGAAGAGUUAUCCUUGCUCGAUCAAAACACUAAAUUUGGCCGAGUACAGCGGCUCACACCUGUAAUCCCAGCACUUUGGCAGGCCAAGGCAGGUGGAUUGCUUGAGCCCAGGAGUUCCAGACCAAAUUAGGCAACAUGGUGAAAUCCUUUCUCUACAAAAAAUACAAAAAUUAGCCAAGUGUGGUGGCAUGUGCUUGUAGUCCCAGCUACUUGUGAGGCUAAGUUGGGAGGAUCGCUUGAGCCCAGGAGAGAAGGUUGCAAGUGAGCCAUGAGCAUGCCACCAAGCUCCAGCCUGGGCAACAGAAUGAGACUCUGUCUCAAAAUUUAAAAAAACACUAAAUUGAAAAAUGUCUUUGAAGGAAGAACACUGGUGAUAUCAAAGGGACACUCAGUUGCAGGGUAGAAGGGCAUGUAAAGAGUGUGGACUGAUACUGACAGGGAUGAAGAGCCAUAUACGUGGCCCCAAACCUCUCAGAAGCCAGUAUGGGGUGAUCUUUUCUGAAAGGUUCAGAACCACUGGAUGUCCAAAGUACUUUACUUUUCACAAGGUAAUCGUGCAGGCCCUGGUCCUACAGCACCAUCGGUACUCCAUAAAUGUGCCCUGGAUGUUGAAUGAAUAAAAUUAAGCCCUAUAAAAUCAAACUGAUUUUACUCUUUAUUCUUUAAGCCUAAGUUGAAAGCUUCUGGGAGGAAGACAAGGUCAUGUCUGACAGGUACACAAUGCACUGGGUAAUGUAUCACAAGGCACAUUUCUGAACCAUUUUUUAAACUUUGUAAUAUUUUCCUAGACCUUGGAAACUCUCAAAUAUGCCUUAAAUCUCUGUAACUCAGUCCCUCACUAGCUUCCAGAAGUUCCUCCCAAGGUAUGGAGCCUCAAUUCCAUUUUGUAAAUCACCAGGGUUUGCUGCCCCUAACAUCUCUUUUGGAUUGGCUGUUGGCAACUCUGCCCUGUUUUGCAUCAUGAUCUGUAUGACUGGCUUACGUCAGAAUCCACAACCAGAUCCACAGCAGCCAACCUCAAAGCCUUUCCAGAUACAUCUUCAAAGCCAGAGUUGCUACCAUCAGGCCCCGUGUGGCCACUUCCCCUUCCUGCCAUAGCUUUCCUCUCUGCACUCCCAGGAUUCUCAACAGGGAGGAGAAGAGGGGUCCUUGGGGGCAUUUCCUUCCCUUUGCUCCCUCCCCCAAAUACUUUGUGGGUCUUUCCGCUUGGGGCCUAUAUUGACCUUACUCCUACACUUAGGGUCAUCUAAUCAGAGACCAGUAGGUUCUUUUUACAAAAAAGCCAGAAACUCUAAGUAGUAGAUAUAACAUUGUUCUAUUUCAUAAGCCCAAAGAUUUUAGCUCUCCUUAACUUGAAUUAUUGCAUAUAUAAAUUUCUGUGGGACAAGUUACUUAAAAUGAAAACUUGCUAGACACAUAACAACAAACUCAGGAAAUGCUUCAACUCUCCAAUCUUUAGGUAAUAUCUCUUUUAGGAAGAAAGGAAAAGGAGUUUAUUUCUUAGAGCCGAGGAAAUUACCUUCAGUCUCCCAUUUUCAUUCUUUCUAUAGAAAUUUUGAUAAUACUUUGGUUUGCAGUGAGAGUUUAAAAAAAAAAAAGCAAACUACUGACUUGAUAAUCCUUCCGUUUCUGUAGUGAAUCAGAAUUCUCAAAAGCUGCUCACACAGGAUUCAACGUCACACAUUGAGUCCCUAAUCUCCUCCCCUGCAAGAUUUCAAAAACAAUCAACCCCCCUGUAACCGCUGCAUUGCUCAGAAGGAAGCCUCGCUUUUAACUUAAUAGGAUUUCGUGUGCAUGCACAUUGGUAACAGUUGGCAAAUGUCAAUGGGCUUGAUUAUGCUUUUCAUUAAAUUUUUAAAAUUAAAUGUUUGGAUUAUUUAUUUUACUUUGUGUUCCUUAGUCACUUGGCACUGUGUUCCUUCCUUGAAAUAGGCUGCAAGAUUUCAUGAA
rnacentral:lncRNA from 1 species